rnacentral:rRNA from 1 species
UACAGAGGGUGCAAGCGUUAAUCGGAAUUACUGGGCGUAAAGCGUGCGUAGACGGUUAUUUAAGUCAGGUGUGAAAGCCCCGGGCUCAACCUGGGAAUUGCGAUGGAGACUGCAAGGCUUGAAUCUGGCAGAGGGGGUAGAAUUCCACGUGUAGCAGGUGAAAUGCGUAGAGAUGUGGAGGAACACCGAUGGCGAAGGCAGCCCCUGGGUCAAGAUUGACGCUCGAUGCACGAAAGCGUGGGGAGCAAACAGG